GACGAGAUGGCUGAGAGGUUAAGGCAAUGGACUGUUAAUCCAUUGUGCUUUGUACAUGUGGGUUCGGAAUCCCACUCUCGUCU